GAUGAACGCUGGCGGCGUGCCUAAUACAUGCAAGUCGAGCGAACAGAUAAGGAGCUUGCUCCUUUGACGUUAGCGGCGGACGGGUGAGUAACACGUGGAUAACCUACCUAUAAGACUGGGAUAACUUCGGGAAACCGGAGCUAAUACCGGAUAACAUAUUGAACCGCAUGGUUCAAUAGUGAAAGGCGGCUUUGCUGUCACUUAUAGAUGGAUCCGCGCCGUAUUAGCUAGUUGGUAAGGUAACGGCUUACCAAGGCAACGAUACGUAGCCGACCUGAGAGGGUGAUCGGCCACACUGGAACUGAGACACGGUCCAGACUCCUACGGGAGGCAGCAGUAGGGAAUCUUCCGCAAUGGGCGAAAGCCUGACGGAGCAACGCCGCGUGAGUGAUGAAGGUCUUCGGAUCGUAAAACUCUGUUAUCAGGGAAGAACAAAUGUGUAAGUAACUGUGCACAUCUUGACGGUACCUGAUCAGAAAGCCACGGCUAACUACGUGCCAGCAGCCGCGGUAAUACGUAGGUGGCAAGCGUUAUCCGGAAUUAUUGGGCGUAAAGCGCGCGUAGGCGGUUUUUUAAGUCUGAUGUGAAAGCCCACGGCUCAACCGUGGAGGGUCAUUGGAAACUGGAAAACUUGAGUGCAGAAGAGGAAAGUGGAAUUCCAUGUGUAGCGGUGAAAUGCGCAGAGAUAUGGAGGAACACCUCUGGCGAAGGCGACUUGUCUGGUCUGUAACUGACGCUGAUGUGCGAAAGCGUGGGGAUCAAACAGGAUUAGAUACCCUGGUAGUCCACGCCGUAAACGAUGAGUGCUAAGUGUUAGGGGGUUUCCGCCCCUUAGUGCUGCAGCUAACGCAUUAAGCACUCCGCCUGGGGAGUACGACCGCAAGGUUGAAACUCAAAGGAAUUGACGGGGACCCGCACAAGCGGUGGAGCAUGUGGUUUAAUUCGAAGCAACGCGAAGAACCUUACCAAAUCUUGACAUCCUUUGACCGCUCUAGAGAUAGAGUCUUCCCCUUCGGGGGACAAAGUGACAGGUGGUGCAUGGUUGUCGUCAGCUCGUGUCGUGAGAUGUUGGGUUAAGUCCCGCAACGAGCGCAACCCUUAAGCUUAGUUGCCAUCAUUAAGUUGGGCACUCUAAGUUGACUGCCGGUGACAAACCGGAGGAAGGUGGGGAUGACGUCAAAUCAUCAUGCCCCUUAUGAUUUGGGCUACACACGUGCUACAAUGGACAAUACAAAGGGCAGCUAAACCGCGAGGUCAAGCAAAUCCCAUAAAGUUGUUCUCAGUUCGGAUUGUAGUCUGCAACUCGACUACAUGAAGCUGGAAUCGCUAGUAAUCGUAGAUCAGCAUGCUACGGUGAAUACGUUCCCGGGUCU
rnacentral:rRNA from 1 species